UACGGAGGGUGCAAGCGUUGUUCGGAUUUACUGGGCGUAAAGCGCGCGCAGGUGGGUGUGCAAGUCGGAAGUGAAAUCUUGAGGCUCAACCUCGAGGCUGCUCCCGAAACUGCACGCCUAGGGACUGGUAGAGGCUGGUAGAAUUCCCGGUGUAGCGGUGGAAUGCGUAGAGAUCGGGAAGAACAUCAGUGGCGAAGGCGGUCUGCUGGGCCGUUGCUGACGCUGAGGCGCGACAGCGUGGGGAGCAAACAGG
rnacentral:rRNA from 1 species